AGUGAACGCUGGCGGUAGGCCUAACACAUGCAAGUCGAACAGCAGCACAGUAAGAGCUUGCUCUUACGGGUGGCGAGUGGCGGACGGGUGAGGAAUACAUCGGAAUCUACUUUUUCGUGGGGGAUAACGUAGGGAAACUUACGCUAAUACCGCAUACGACCUACGGGUGAAAGCAGGGGAUCUUCGGACCUUGCGCGAUUGAAUGAGCCGAUGUCGGAUUAGCUAGUUGGCGGGGUAAAGGCCCACCAAGGCGACGAUACGUAGCUGGUCUGAGAGGAUGAUCAGCCACACUGGAACUGAGACACGGUCCAGACUCCUACGGGAGGCAGCAGUGGGGAAUAUUGGACAAUGGGCGCAAGCCUGAUCCAGCCAUGCCGCGUGGGUGAAGAAGGCCUUCGGGUUGUAAAGCCCUGUUGUUGGGAAAGAAAAGCAGCAGGUUAAUACCCCGCUGUUCUGACGGUACCCAAAGAAUAAGCACCGGCUAACUUCGUG
rnacentral:rRNA from 1 species